GGAGCCCCACCCGGGGCUGGAUCUCACGACCCUGAGGUCGUGACCCGAGCCAAAGUCAAGAGGCGGGCACUUCACCGAAUGAGCCACCCGGGCGCCCCGGCACUGGAUUCUUGAACCAUCUUGCGCGUUCGAAGGUGUGGUAGAUUAGACGGCUGUUCCAAAUAUUCACUGCCUCCCUUCCCCUCUGCCUCCACAGGGGGAGUAUACAUCCCCGCAUCUUGACUUUGGGCUUGACCGCAUAACUUGCUUUGGCCAGUGAAGUGUUAGCAGAGAAAGCAUAAUCGGAGCCUUGAAAAGAGCGUGUGUGGCUGGCCUCGCCCUCUUUAUACCUAUGACACUGCCGUGAGGAGAACGUGUUCAGCCUAACCUCCGGUCCCAGGAGGAGUGACACGCGUGUGGAGCAGCGCUGCUCCGGCCAAGCCCAGUGUAGCUCACCUGACCCCCAGGUUUGUGAGUGAACCCAGCCAAGAUCAUCAGAACCACCGGUCAACGCAGGGGCGUCUGAGCUGGCAGGAUUUUGCAAGAACCAUGCUAGUGGGGGAAGGAAAAGGACGGAGUCUCUACCGUUGGAUGAGAGGAAAUCCACGCUCCCCGUGUGGCCUCCACCAACAGCACCCUGGCAGGGAGAGUGAGAGACACAGCAGAACCAUGGAGUAGGAAAUCUCAGCUCCUCAGCUGGCCUCUAAUGACACCCAGGGGGUCUUCAAGGCUUUUGUGGAACAAAGGCAGAGAACUUCUGGUCCAGCCCCAGAGUGACGGAGAGGACACAAGCCGCUGCCUUCUUAGCUGGGUUUUGCCUGUGCUCCGGUCAGCCCUUUUAAUCUCCAGGAGAGGAUCUCCGCAAGCCCAGAACCCUACGGCCAAGAAAUCUGCUUAAACGUCAAUGUUUCCCUGUCUUUUCAAACUUAAGUACCCACCAAUAAAGAAGAGAAACUCUUUAAUGCUCCAUACUCAA